GAUGAAGAACGUAGCGAAAUGCGAUAAGUAAUGUGAAUUGCAGAAUUCAGUGAAUCAUCGAAUCUUUGAACGCACAUUGCGCCCGCCAGUAUUCUGGCGGGCAUGCCUGUUCGAGCGUCAUUUCAACCAUCAAACCCCAGGCUUGUGUUGGGGACCUGCGGCUGCCGCAGGCCCUGAAAACCAGUGGCGGGCUCGCUGUCACACCGGGCGUAGUAGAUUUUAUCUCGCUCAGGGCGUGCUGCGGGUUCCGGCCGUUAAAAAGCCUUUUUUACCCAAGGUUGACCUCGGAUCAGGUAGGAAGACCCGCUGAACUUAAGCAUAUCAAUAAGCGGAGGA
rnacentral:misc_RNA from 1 species